GCCGCCGCCGACAGUUCUCUUUCAUUUUAUUUUUCUCUAUUUUUCUUUGCGAUUUAUUUUUUCCUCUAUAAACUUCAGCCACCAAAACUUAAACAUAUCCAGCGAUUCUUCUCUCUUUCUCUAGAAAAUAUGGCGGCUAACCCUGAUAUAACGUCGUAAGGUCACCGACUACCAAAACCAAAGAAGAAAUCACAGCGGUUGGGCCUUUGAUAAUGGCGGAAAAGGAGAAAGAUGUGGCGUCAAUAGGUCUAUGAUUUUGAUCUACAAUGAUUGGAUCUAUAGUGAUUGGAUUAUAUUUCUUUUUGUUCUGUAUGUUUCCGAUUUAGGGUUGUUAAAGAAGAUUCUGGGAUUUUUGUAAUUUAGGGUUCAUCUUGUUCUCUCUCUUUAAGGCAUAUUUCGCGUUUUUAUGUAUUUCAUCUUCACAUCUGAUUUUAGUAGCACUCAGUAUAACUAGUAUAACACUAUAUAUGAUGUAUACCUAACACAUUAGUAGUA
rnacentral:lncRNA from 1 species